rnacentral:rRNA from 1 species
UGGGGAAUAUUGGACAAUGGGGGCAACCCUGAUCCAGCCAUGCCGCGUGAGUGAUGAAGGCCUUAGGGUUGUAAAGCUCUUUUGGCAGGGACGAUAAUGACGGUACCUGCAGAAUAAGCCCCGCCUAACUUCGUGCCAGCAGCCGCGGUAAUACAGAGGGGGCAAGCGUUGUCCGGACUUACUGGGCGUAAAGCGCACGCAGGUGGUAAGGCAAGUGGGGUGUGAAAGCCGCCAGCUUAACUGGCGGAGGCCAUCCCAAACUGCUUCACUUGAGGCCUGUAGAGGUAUGUGGAAUUGCCGGUGUAGUGGUGAAAUGCGUAGAGAUCGGCAGGAACACCCAGGGGGAAACCAGCAUACUGGACAGGGCCUGACACUCAGGUGCGACAGCGUGGGGAGCGAACCGGAUUAGAUACCCGCGUAGUCC